rnacentral:ncRNA from 1 species
UACCUGGUUGAUCCUGCCAGUAGUCAUAUGCUUGUCUCAAAGAUUAAGCCAUGCAAGUCUAAGUACGAGCUCUCGUACAGUGAAACUGCGAAUGGCUCAUUAAAUCAGUUAUGGUUCAUUUGAUCGUACAGUUUACUUGGAUAACUGUGGUAAUUCUAGAGCUAAUACAUGCGAGAAGCGCCGACCUCGCGGGAGGCGUGCAUUUAUCAGACCAAAAACCGGCCGCGUCUUCGGGCGCGUUCGCCUUGGUGACUCUGGAUAACUUUGCGGAUCGCACGGUCUAGCACCGGCGACGGAUCAUUCAAGUGUCUGCCCUAUCAACUUUCGUCGGUACGGUAUUUGCCUACCGAGGUUCUUACGGGUGACGGGGAAUCAGGGUUCGAUUCCGGAGAGGGAGCCUGAGAAACGGCUACCACAUCCAAGGAAGGCAGCAGGCGCGCAAAUUACCCAUUCCCGACGCGGGGAGGUAGUGACGAAAAAUAACAAUGCAGGACUCGUUCGAGGCCCUGUAAUUGGAAUGAGUACACUUUAAAAGCUUUAACGAGUAUCCAUUGGAGGGCAAGUCUGGUGCCAGCAGCCGCGGUAAUUCCAGCUCCAAAAGUAUAUAUUUAAGUUGUUGCGGUUAAAAAGCUCGUAGUUGGAUUUUGGGCGCAGGCGGCCGGUCCGUCGCAAGGCGUGUACUGUAUUUCCUGACCUUCCCUCCGGUUCUCCGCCGGUGG